ACUGGGAGGUUGGCUUAGAAGCAGCCAUCCUUGAAAGAGUGCGUAAUAGCUCACCAGUCAAGCGGGUUUGCGCCGAUAAUUUCCGGGACUCAAGUCAGCCACCGAAGCUAGGGCUGCGGAAACUCCUGCGGGAGCUUUCGUGGGGUAGGGGAGCGUUGCCUGUGCAUGGAAGCGGGGCCGUGAGGCCUGGGGGAAUAUCCCCUUAGCCCGUGGAGCGCAGGCAAGUGAGAAUGCCGGAAUGAGUACGCGCGAAACGGGGCGAGAACCCCCGUCGCCGAAAGCCCAAGGUUUCCUGAGCCAUGUCGAUCAGCUCAGGGUUAGUCGGCCCCUAAGGUGAGGCCGAAAGGCGUAGCCGAUGGAAAACGGGUCAACAUUCCCGUACCGGGCUAGUUACGCUUGAGUCUGCGGAGGGACGCAGAGGUGAAAGGUCCGUCAGGACGUGGAUUGUGCCUGAUGCAAGGAGGUAGGCGUUUCCGGGUAGGCAAAUCCGCCCGGUGAAGCCGAGAUCCGAUGCCGAAGGGGGAUUCGUCCCCCGUCAUGGGACUGUAAUCGUACUGCCGAGAAAAGCUUCGCAAACGAGUAGCUAGCGCGACCGUACCGUAAACCGACACAGGUGGGCGAGGCGAGAAGCCUCAGGCGCUCGAGUGAGUCUUGGUCAAGGAACUCGGCAAAAUGUCCCCGUAACUUCGGGAGAAGGGGAGCCCGUAUUAGGUGAAGUCCUUCGCGGACGGAGCCGAGGCGGGCCGCAGAGAAUCGGCCCAAGCGACUGUUUAGUAAAAACACAGGUGUCUGCGAAGUCGUCAAGACGACGUAUAGGCACUGACGCCUGCCCGGUGCCGGAAGGUUAAAUGGAAGGGUUAGCUUUCGAGCGAAGCUUUGAAAUGAAGCCCCGGUAAACGGCGGCCGUAACUAUAACGGUCCUAAGGUAGCGAAAUUCCUUGUCGGGUAAGUUCCGACCUGCACGAAUGGCGUAACGACUUGGGCACUGUCUCGACCAAGAGCUCGGCGA
rnacentral:rRNA from 1 species